rnacentral:lncRNA from 1 species
AAAACGCCAUGAGUGCCAUACGAAAAAUAAAGCAAACGUUGGGAAUUCCAAAGGAAACCAGUGGAGGAAAAUCGAUGGACAGAAAUGGCUCUAAUACUGGUUUGACAGAUUCUCAGCUUCUCUUUGGCUCUCAGUUUUGGCUUGAGAAUUCCCAGAACACAUCCCAGGAUCUGAGUCUGUCAUCCAGAAACUCCCAGCAAAGUUUACAAGAGGGAAGUGACCCAAAGUUUUACCGCAGUUACCUCCUUAAACCUUUGCUGUUUGGAGACUAUAAGGACAAAACCAAUACAAUCAGAUCACUGGAUCAGUUUGAAGAAGACAAGAGGAAGACAAAAGAAAAUAAUGACAUUGAUUUCUUAGCCAGAGAGUCACAACAUGUCAGAGAAACUCUCUGCAGUAUUCACCAAUUGGUUGCCAGCACCAAACAAACCGUCUGUCAGGCGGUCUUUGACAAAAUCGACAAUUUUGCAUCAACAUUGCAAAGCAGUCUGAAGAAUCUUGUCGGUGACAUUUCCCAAAAGUUUGAGACUCUGGUGGCCAAAGCAAACUCUCAAAGGGACGUCAUAUCCCAGCUGGAGGAAAAGAUGAUGGAGAAAGGAGACAUCACAGCAGAGCUUCAUGGCCAUUUGCAAAGCUUAAAGAAUAGUUUGGACGGUAUAAGAGAGGAACAGGAGAGAAAAAUUCACAUGCUUGAAGAGGCUGUCCAGCUGCUCCAGACUUUAGCCUCUGAGCUUUUGGCCAAACCCACCGCUGAGGCCACGAUGCACAGCGCUACCCAGACAUCGCCAAACCUCGAACAGCCGCUGUCGAACCAAAAACAGCCUGAGAGAGCUGGUCUUCAGGUCCUGGCGCCCCCACAAGACCACAAGCAGGUCUUCAGAAGAACGAAACCCGGCGCCAGAGGUCUGAGGAGGCGCAAAAAGAGGGCGCUGGUUCUUCCCCAGAGGAGCAAACGCACCACCUCAGAUGAAAACCGCCAGCCCCUAAAUGGCUGCAACAAACCGCAGAGACUUUCAGAACCCGUCCACAGGCAUCAGAGAGACAGCCCCAGCCCAGGCAGCAGACGUGGAGGAGCGGCGGGCUGUUUCAUCACGCCGCUGAGCAGCUGGUCUGUGGACAGCAGUGGCUCUGAGUGCUUCACAGCCAUCGAACCCAUCCUAGAGAAGCUGUCCGCUGAGCCCAAGACCUCAGGAGGCUUCUGGCAGCUGUUUGAUUCUGAAUGA